CUCUGUCUCUGUCUCUGUUUCAGACAUUUAUAGCAUUUCGCGCCGAAUGUGUAAAUCUUCUUGCUUUCCAUGUUGAUUUUUCACGAGUCAAUUUUCUUCUAUACUUUUGGCAGGAAGGAAAUAUUCUACUACAUAUCUCUGUACAAUGGCCUUGCCGGGCUAGGUGUCCGAAUUAAAAACUAAGGCUAUCACCGUCACGAAUAUAUAUGUUAAAUACAGUGUAAAAGAUCUUAUUUCACGUGCGUUCAAACAUUCAAAUACAAUGCACGAUGCGUGAGAAUGCUUAGAGGUAGAGACGGGGGAACAGUGAUGAAAUAAUGUUCCAAAAAUUAAAGGUUUAUUGUCAGGAAAUAUUGAUAUUAACUUUCUAGUAUGAAAUUAAAAGUUAGUAUCCUUGUGUCAAAAUAAGGAGUCAAUCUGAUAAAUCUUAUUAGAAUGAAA